rnacentral:lncRNA from 1 species
CUUUGCUCCAGUUUCCAGUAAGUUCCUCAUCUCCAUUUGAGACCAACUCAGCCUGGACCUUACUGUUCAUAUCAUUGUCAGCAUUUUUGUCAAAGCCAUUCAACAAAUCUCUAGGAGUUCCAAACUUUCCAACAUUUUUAUGUCUUCUGAGUCCUCCAAACUAUUCCAGCCUCUGCCUGUUAACCAGUUCCGAAGGAGUUCCCCGACUGCUUGUGCUUCCCAGGAAAGGCUCUCCCAUUUUAUUCCUGGAAAGAAUUGAAUGGCCUCAUUCUCAUUCAGAGUUCUAUCUGAUUUAUAAGGUCUGUAAAAUAAAAAAAAAAAGACACUUUAGGUUGAGACCAUUUAAGUUAUACUUUGAUAUGUAGAAGAACAAGAUUAAGGAGUAAAACCUUUCAGCAAAAAUUUAUC